GGUUAUUUCUCCGUGGAUUCUUCGAGAGUAUAAACGUAGACGGAAAGUAAAGUUUUGAAAUAGAAUAGAUGAGUCCAAUAACGAAAAGCCUAAAUAUAACACAAACAAAUUCAUGAAAUGUAAAGUUUUGAGGGAUAUAUGUUAGUUUCUCCUUACCCUAUUUUCUUAGGUGGCAAGAGGAGAAGAGAAUCAAGGUUUUCUUUGUAUUAAUAGAUAUAUGUGAAAUCAUUUUAUUAUAGAACUUUUAGGAGCUUACACUUCAAAAUUGUUGCAAAUAAGUGAAAUUAAGUAAACUGCAUCAUAGAUAAUAUGUUUUUUCUGCUAUUUCUAUAAAAUAUAAAAUCACAAAGAAUAAUUGUUAAUAAAAUGAAGCAUAUUUUGAUCAGUAAAAAUAACAAACUAAAGUAUUUAUUUAAUGACACAAUUUUAACGUUAUACCAUUUCACUAUUUAUUUUAUGUUUUAUAUAAAUUUGAUGUGUAAUUUGUUGGAAAAUACAUAUAAAUAAAUUGACAAUUGGGCUUUGUAUUUAUUUUUAAGACUUGAGAGUACUUACUGUUUAUUGUCAUACUAAAUUAGAUUAAAAUAACAAUUUUCAGACUAUAAAAACUGAGAUAAAAUACAAAGUAUAAAAUAUAUACAUAUAUUAUUCAGAUGACGUCUCCGGGUUUCAUCUCCGGCGAGUCUCCAUCGGUGAUUUCGGUGUUCCACCGAGCUCGAGUUUUGUCAUCGCACCGUCAGAGCUUCAAGCGAACCCGUCAUCCAGCCCUAACCACUCUCGAUUCACCACGCUCCAGCCGCCGCCGUUGAGCCAAGCAAGAAUCGCCAUUUUCACUGCCGUUGUUGUUGAGCCAAGAAAGAGUCACUGAAACCGAGAGAUGCUCGGUAGAUCUGUCUGAUGGAGUCCAUGGUUAUGGCUCUCAGCCUUGUCUCCUGUAAAUCACCAUAAUUAAAACGAUUCAACAUCUAAAAAGAGACAAAGAGAGAGAUCGUGUGAUAAAUAGAUGCAAAAAAGACUUUGAGUUUCAUCCAAGAAGAAAUAUCUUAUACAAUAAAAUAGACUUUUCUCUCUUCUCCUUGUGCCACAUCAUGAGAAGGAUGAGGCAAAACUGGACACCUGUCACCUAAAAGAAGCAGCGAAACCAAUUUUUAAGUUUCCUUUGGGUUCUUUGUAUUGUGCUUUAUGUUGUUUAUCUCCAAGCCCAACGUAACCUGAUAUGUUAUCGACUUCUUUUGUCAAUGUGAAACCCUCGACGUUUUGAUUCUCCUCCUCACUGAUUCGUCUGAGAAACGUUUGCAGUUAUGGAUUCAAUCCACUACGUCCAUUACUUCAGAUUCAACGCCUCUUCAUUUCCUUGGUGGGUUCAUUGAAUGAGUAUAUAUACAUACGUAAGGAGAGGAUUCACACAGAUUUAUUAGUUCAGUCAAAAUCCUUGAAGUCUUUGUGUGAAAGUUCCGAAAUUGGCGAUUCAACACAUGCUGUCUUGAUGAAAAUGAUGUACGCGUUGUAAGGUAAAACAUAAUGCAAUAUUUGUUUUUGUAUGUUUAAUCUGCUCAAAACAUACAACUUAAAUACCUCAACUCCUAACCAAUUUUCUCUGCGUGAGAAGGUAUCGGGUUGAGAUGGAAUUAACAGGUGUGACAAACUCUGCUCUGUUUUUGUGUUCUGAUGGUGAGAUGAACAAGCUAAACAAAGUUCCUGCUGCAGCAGUGUUUCAAGGCAUGGUAACAUUCACCAAUCGAUCUCCUAUUAUAUGUUUUUUUUCUUUAAUAAAAUACAUGGCCUGUUUAUUUAAUCGUUAAUCUCCCUCUCUUCCCGUCUUCCUUUGCUGCUCUCGAGUUCAUCGCCAUUCCUUUCUCGACUCCGUACGCAUGUUGCCUUCGACAAUCUCCAUCUUGGACGGAUUAUAUGUGUUGGGGUUGCAGCUAAGCUGGUUUACAACAUACAUACUCACUCAGUAAAAAACAUUAUCAUGUACAUUGUUUCUCUUUUUACAGAGAUUGGCACGUCAAAUAUGAUGGUAUUUCUGGUAAAGCAAUAAACUUUGAUCUAUACAUGGCUAUGAAGUUCCAAGUUCUGGACAACAAGGACUGAACCUCCGCGUAUUACACCACGAGUGACGUUGUAGAUUGCCCAGAAUCUUCUACUGAUCACUAUUACUCCCCACAGUUCCUGGAGACAUCUUUGUUUGUUAGACAUGAAGGCUUUUUAAACAUUACGGGUGUAAGGAAGGGGAAGAAGAUUUUUGGAGGAGAAAUGGAUCAGCUUGAAGCAGAACUUGAAGUUUAGUUUGAGUUUCUUCUGAUUGGUCAAAAACAGGAAGAGAAGAGUGAGGAUUUAGAAGGAACUAGGUUCAUACAUGUGUUCAGGACCAUUUGAGGAACAACAAGGAUUGUGUCCUUGUGAGCUGGAGGCAAGGAUACACGAGCUCAUGGAGACAAGAAAAAAAAGGAGAAAAAAGAGUUGCAGACGGCAUUGGAAGCCUCUAAGAAAAGGCUUCAUGUCAAAGAGGCUGAAGUUUCUUGGUGAAAAGACACUGCAUAUAUAUAUAUAUAUAUAUAUAUAGUAAACUUGUCACUUCCCCCUCUCUAUCUAUGUUUCAAGUUUUAUUAGAAAACAAAAGUGUAUGUAAUAUCUGAAGAAUCUGAAUGUUAAUUAAUGGAUUCGUUACAAUUUGCUAUGGAACAACAAUUUUAUACGAAAUGUCAUUUUUUAUGCAUAAAUGAUUUACAACUACAUUUUACAUAUAAUCCACAAAGAUAAUCAAGUUAUAGAACUUGUUUCAAAAAAAAAAAAAAAAAUCAAGUUACAGAACAAAUAAAAAAUUCAUAAAUACAAUAUGAUAAUUCAUUUAAGAUUUUGUUUUUCUCAUGUCUAUUCAAACAAAAACCAAAUAAGAUAGAAGAUAAAAUAAGAAGUAACUUAAUGAAAUUUUUCUUUCUCGAUCAUUAAAUUCAUAAAAUAAAAUAAAAAUAAUAGAUAACCACAUCCAAUAAUUAAUUCAUAAUCAAAAUAUAAUCUUAUAAUCAA